rnacentral:rRNA from 1 species
GAUGAACGCUGGCGGCGUGCCUAAUACAUGCAAGUCGAGCGAACAGACGAGGAGCUUGCUCCUCUGACGUUAGCGGCGGACGGGUGAGUAACACGUGGAUAACCUACCUAUAAGACUGGGAUAACUUCGGGAAACCGGAGCUAAUACCGGAUAAUAUAUUGAACCGCAUGGUUCAAUAGUGAAAGACGGUUUUGCUGUCACUUAUAGAUGGAUCCGCGCCGCAUUAGCUAGUUGGUAAGGUAACGGCUUACCAAGGCAACGAUGCGUAGCCGACCUGAGAGGGUGAUCGGCCACACUGGAACUGAGACACGGCCCAGACUCCUACGGGAGGCAGCAGUAGGGAAUCUUCCGCAAUGGGCGAAAGCCUGACGGAGCAACGCCGCGUGAGUGAUGAAGGUCUUCGGAUCGUAAAACUCUGUUAUUAGGGAAGAACAAAUGUGUAAGUAACUAUGCACGUCUCGACGGUACCUAAUCAGAAAGCCACGGCUAACUACGUG